AAAAUAUUAAAUUUUAAAGUUUUAUUAUAGCUUUUAAUAUAAAUUUUUAUAGAUUAUAUGUAAUAUUUUUUUAAAUAACAUUAGAAAGCAGUAAUUAAAAUUAAUUUUUAAAGAAAUUUAGAAUUAGUUAUUAAAUAUAGAAUAAACAAAAUUUGUGCCAGCAGUUGCGGUUAUACUAAUUAUUCAAUUUAUAUAGUUUAAAAAUUUAAAAUUUUUGUAUGAAAAUUAAAAUAUUAAUUUUAUAAAGUGAAAUUUUAAAAUUAAAUAUUAUUAUUAUUAUAAUAAUUUCUUAAAAUUUUAUAAAAUUUUUUUAUUAAACUAGGAUUAGAUACCCUAUUAUUAAAAAUUUAAUUAUUUUUUAAUUAGUAUUAGUUAUGUUCUUGAAAAUUAAAUAAUUUGGCGGUAUUUUAGUCUUUUUAGAGGAAUCUGUUCUGUAAUUGAUAGUCCACGAAUAAAAUUACUUGUCUUAUUAUAGUUUAUAUAUCGUCGUAGUUGAGUAUUUUAUAAGAAAAAAAUACUCAAAAAUUUUUAUAAAAAAUAAAAUCAGAUCAAGAUAUAGCUUAUAGGCUAGUAGAAAUGGAUUACAAUAAAAUUAUUUUUGGUUAUUAAUAUUAAAUAUUAAUAUAAAUUGGAUUUAAAAGUAAUAAAAUUAUAUUAAUUUUAUGAUUUUGGCUCUAAAAUAUGCACAUAUCGCCCGUCACUCUCAAAUAAAUUGAGAUAAGUCGUAACAAAGUAAGUGUACUGGAAAGUGUACUUGGAAAUUC
rnacentral:ncRNA from 1 species